CGGGGAGUAUAAACUUUUUACCAGACUGACUGGGCCGACUGAGGGGUCCUAUUAAAUCCACCGCUAUGCGGUGGAACGGCUCCUCUAUGAUGGGUAACGGGUGAAGGUUCGCUUUCUGGUGGUCACCCAUUUUCCCUAUUUUCUGUCAAACAUCACAGGUCCUGCAGUAGUAUUUAAGGUCUUGAGUGACCCUGGGCCAGAAGAAGGUUUGGGUCAGCCGGUCUCUAGUUUUCUUAACCCCUAAAUGUCCGGCUAGGGGAAUAUCAUGG